rnacentral:tRNA from 1 species
AAAUAAGAAGCAAUUAAUUGCAUUUAGUUUCGACCUAAAAGUUAGAUAUCGUUAUCCUUAUUUU